GGAAAAGUUCAUGGAGUUUGGCUAAGUUGAUACCAGCACACAAAAUAUUAGCUCUGAAGUUGGCUAUACUGGAGCAUGAGAAAUAUAUGCUUUUUUACAGUGCCUUCAUUAGGGAGACAAAUAAACCCUGCAAUGAGAACUGGAAGCCUUUGCCUCUCCUUUUGAAGAACUGUUUAUCUAUCUGCCAAACUGGGCAUCAACGUACAGGGAGGGCAGAAUAAUGUCACAGCAACCCUGAUCCACAAAUUAACUUUUGAAUAUAUAACUUUUUUUUUAUUUAGUUCCAGUUGUACAGCAAUGUGCUCAACCAUAUUUUUUUCAAAUGUACUGUCUUAAUUGAUCCAGUGGUUACUAGGCCUACAGUGUGUUGGGGUGGACCAACAUCAUUGUCAUUUUAUCCCCACCGAAUUUCAUGAAAUUGUCUGUAUCACUGUAGUUUAUUUGUUUUUAGAUUACCAAUGAACACAAUCAAAUAAAGCUGAAAAAUAACUGUCA